AACGUAGGUGGCGAGCGUUAUCCGGAUUUACUGGGCGUAAAGCGUGUGCAGGCGGGGAGACAAGUGGUGUAUGAAAUUUCCCGGCUUAACCGGGAAGGGUUAUGCCAGACUGUCUUUCUGGAGUGCGAGAGAGGGGCGUGGAGUUCCGGGUGUAGUGGUGAAAUGCGUAGAGAUCCGGAGGAACCCCAGAGGCGAAGGCAGCAUCCUGGACCGGCAUUGACGCUGAGGCUCGAAAGCGUGGGGGAGCAAACAGG
rnacentral:rRNA from 1 species